rnacentral:tRNA from 1 species
UCCCUGGUAGUCUAGUGGUUAGGACUCAGUGCUUUCACUGCUGUGGCUCAAGUUCGGUCCCUGGUCUGGGAA